UACGAAGGGGGCUAGCGGUGUUCGGAAUCACUGGGCGUAAAGCGCACGUAGGUGGACAGUUAAGUCAGGGGUGAAAGCCCGAGGCUCAACCUCGGAAUUGCCUCUGAUACUGGCUGUCUCGAGUCCGAGAGAGGUGGGUGGAAUUCCUAGUGUGGAGGCGAAAUUCGUAGAUAUUAGGAGGAACACCGGUGGCGAAGUCGGCCCACUGGCUCGUUACUGUAAAUGAGGUGCGAAAGCGUGGGGAGCAAACAGG
rnacentral:rRNA from 1 species